GGAGGAACAUUUGCCUGCUCUGUUAAAGGGGAAGGAGGGAACGUGCUUCCAGCCUUUAUUAUGGUUACCUGAGGUAGAGAAAACCUACACAGCCGCAUGGCUAAGUCUUUCCCUCGGAUGAAGUCCAUCUGUCAUCUUCCCAGCCUUUUAGAAGAACUCACAUCAUGGAUGAAUUACGUGAAACACACACUUAGCUGAAAACUGAAAGAAGCAGAGGAGGAGAAGAAGCAAAGAAUACAAGCCUGUCAUUAUAAAACUAAUCUUCAAAGAUCAUCAGGUACAUCAAAGCAAGCAUCCUAAAAGUCACCUUUCACGUGGAAAGUGGCUCAUCUUCAUCAUAGACUCCAUUUAAGGAGAACCAAGGCCACAGACAAACCUCACCUUCCAUAAGUUUCCUUGUCACCAUGGCUUAUUGAAGCUGCAGAAAAGAAGCUAAUUCAGUAUCUCAGAGCACUGCCAGACUGAUACAUGUUAGAUUUUUAAUCCUUUCACCAACCAGAAGUCCGAAGAAGCUGUGACCAGACACUUGAGAAGAGGAAAUUCAAGGGAUGAAGAGAGUAUCCUGGUUAAUAAUUAAGUUGGAAUACAGCCCACCACUGAGAAGACAGGGUAGUAGAGGUGCACAGCACAGGCAGAGUGGAGGAAUGUGUAGGAGCUGCAGACAAAGAGAGAAUAAAUGAUAAACGAUCUGGGCAAUCCUGUGUGAACCUGAAAGGAAGACAACACAGUGCACCAGUUCUCCUUGUGUCAAUGCAAGUUCAUCCAACCUGAGGUUGGACCCUGGAGAGUCCUGAGACUAAACAUAAGAUCCAGAGAUUAUGGGCUCAGCAGGAUAGCUCGGUGGGUGUCUCUGCUUCCAAGGCUGAUGACUUAAGUUCCAUCCCCAGGACCCACAUGGUAGAAGGAUAGAACUGACUUCCUCUAGCUGUUCUCUGAUCUGCAACUGUGCAUGGUGGUACACAUGUCAUCCCACACAAUAACAUUUUAAAAGUGUGAUUAAAAGAUACAUGAUUUAAGGACA